GCAGUGGGGAAUAUUGGACAAUGGGCGCAAGCCUGAUCCAGCCAUACCGCGUGGGUGAAGAAGGCCUUCGGGUUGUAAAGCCCUUUUGUUGGGAAAGAAAAGCAGCCGGUUAAUACCUGGUUGUUCUGACGGUACCCAAAGAAUAAGCACCGGCUAACUUCGUGCCAGCAGCCGCGGUAAUACGAAGGGUGCAAGCGUUACUCGGAAUUACUGGGCGUAAAGCGUGCGUAGGUGGUUGUUUAAGUCUGUUGUGAAAGCCCUGGGCUCAACCUGGGAAUUGCGAUGGAAGCUGGGCGACUAGAGUGUGGCAGAGGAUAGUGGAAUUCCUGGUGUAGCAGUGAAAUGCGUAGAGAUCAGGAGGAACAUCCGUGGCGAAGGCGACUGUCUGGGCCAACACUGACACUGAGGCACGAAAGCGUGGGGAGCAAACAGGAUUAGAUACCCUGGUAGUCCACGCCCUAAACGAUGCGAACUGGAUGUUGGGUGCAAUUUGGCACGCAGUAUCGAAGCUAACGCGUUAAGUUCGCCGCCUGGGGAGUACGGU
rnacentral:rRNA from 1 species